GGAAUCAUAAGCAAGCCUCUGUCUGGGUCAGGACAAGGUUUAAGGGUUUUUCUGUAGUUCCAUCUCCCUCCAUAAUCUUCUACGAUCCAAACUUGGUGUCACAAUAUUGGACUAAGAAAAAGCAGCCAUGGCAAGUCUUACAACUAACCUCCCCCUUCAGAGAGCCUUUAAGGUAACCUCUAUGCAGACACCUUUGGAGGAGCUAUACAGUGUUUGCAAGAUUCGACCUCAAUAUUGCAGGGCAGGUCUGCGGCUCCAGGACAUUGUCGAAAGUAUUCUCUAUGCAGACCUGCCCUGCAAUAUUGAGGUCGAAUCUUGCAAACACUGUACUGACCUUGAAGAAAAUAGGAAUAAGUAACUUGGUGCAGUUCGAUUUUAUGGAUCCACCUGAGAGACUGAUGCGUGCCUUGGAGGUGUUGAAUUAUUUGGGAGCACUUGAUGAUGAUGGAAACCUGACAAAUUCGAUCACACAAAUCAUCUGAAACUCUAAAACAACAACGCAAGAAAGAUGACUGCGUAGGAGGUAUCUGAUGAAUUACAAGCGUUGUUUUCCGCAGCCAUCAAAGCCAGCUACCUUACACGAAACAUAGACGGCAUCGAAUGAUGUGUCGAAGCUUUGAAUAAGUUGAAGACUAAGUCUCUCUCCGUUUUAGUAACUUCACACAAACUCAAAGAUCAAAUAACAUUUUUUAAAAAGAAUAAGCGAAACACUGUAUCAGGAUUCAUUAAGAGUAGUAUCUGAGUGUCAGGAUGAUAUGGAAUCCGUUUGUAUUAAAUGUUAAGAGUGACAUUUGUAAACAUGUGUUGUGGCUUUCAGUAUGCAACUUCAUCC